rnacentral:rRNA from 1 species
AUUGAACGCUGGCGGCAGGCCUAACACAUGCAAGUCGAGCGGAGCGGCGGACGGGUGAGUAAUGCCUAGGAAUCUGCCUGGUAGUGGGGGAUAACGUCCGGAAACGGGCGCUAAUACCGCAUACUAGCAGAUGAGCCUAGGUCGGAUUAGCUAGUUGGUGGGGUAAGGGCCUACCAAGGCGACGAUCCGUAACUGGUCUGAGAGGGUGAUCAGGCCACCUGGAACGGAGACACGGUCCAGACGCCUCCGGGAGGAAGCAGGGGGGAAUAUUGGACAAUGGGCGAAAGCCUGAGCCAGCCAUGCCGGGUGUGUGAAGAGGGUCUUCGGAUUGUAAAGCACGUUAAGUUGGGAGGCGUUACCAACAGAAUAAGCACCGGCUAACUUCGUGCCAGCAGCCGCGGUAAUUC